rnacentral:misc_RNA from 1 species
UUUCGAGCUAUGAAUGAACGGGACGUGAAUGAAAUGGGGAUGAAUGAAGUGCGUGGUUCGUGAGUACAACCGGUGUGUCAUUGAAGGCAGUUGUGGGUUCCAGUUGGGGUCAGAUGAAUCCACACGUGAAUUCAUCCAGCUGCGAUACAAACUUCGCCACCUUUUUAAUGGCAGAAAACAUCAGUGCGAAAAGGCCUAUAGUCGUAUUGUUGAGGAACUUGGGCUAACAAAUAUCAUAACACCAACCCAGGCCAGGAAAAAAUGGUCCAAUCUUCUUCAGAAAUAUAUGGACAUUAAGGGAGGCUACUCAACAGCCAAUGCAGACUGGCCAUACUUCCAAAUACUAGACCAAAUUGUUCCUCUUAUGAGGAAAGAGAAGAUCGAGAAAGUUCCUCCAGCAUCCGUUGACCACAGUGACAUUGAAGCAGCACAGGAGAGUCUGCAAAGCCCCUUAACCACCCCUGUUGUGGCUGCCAGAGACCCUCUUGGUGUGACGACUGUGGAAUCAGUGAUGGUGUCAGCCCAGCCGUCCACACCUACAGGGGACCAGUGCAAGACAGAGGCAGCAGAUGGGGAGCCUCCAAGAAAGAGAGGGAGGAGUCGCCGUGCAGCCCAGCGAGCAAGGGACAGGUGGUGGGGAGCAGUGGAGGAAGAUGACUUAGGCUCUGACUCAACGAGCUCUGCAGUCAAAGGGGAAAUAUCCGGUCUCCGAAUGUCAAGCAAGUCUUCUAUGAGUGAGAGCCUGGACCCUAUGCAGAUGGAGGUCCAGACUUUCCAGAUGCUGGAAUCUUGUUCUAAUGCCCUUGUAGACAUCAGAGAGACAUUGAAGAUGCAUGCUGAACAGCAGGAAAGCAUCAUGCAGAGCUUACAGCAGACAGUAGUCAGUCAGGGGAACACCAUUAAGGAACUGUUGUCGACUAUGACAAGCCAGAAUGCAACACUGAUUGCCCUCAUGACACAGCUGUCAACAGGCGCUGCACCUCAGCUAGGCAUAGCUAGCGGCAGCUUCAGCCAGCAGAAGCACCGAGAGACACAGGCAUCCCACCCUCACCAGCAGAACCAGCUCCUCUCGUCGCAACAGAAUAUCAUCAGCGCACUUUCCCACGAGAGCCAGGACUGCGAGACUUCCCUAGUUGAGAAUUCAGAGUUGUCGGACGAUAUGACAGGCUUGUAGGGGUAGAAGAUCACCUUGAUUAGGAGAGUUAUCGAUUUUCCUUGCCUAAUAUUUAGGUGUAUCAUGUGGGUGAUUACCCUAGUUUGUUGUUUGCAUCUUGAGAUUUGUGUGAACACUAAUCAGUUCACACACCAAAAUAGUGAGUAACAAUGUACAAAACUUGAUCUGAAAUAAAUGCUUUAUUUUGU